rnacentral:rRNA from 1 species
AACGAACGCUGGCGGCGGGGUUUAGGCAUGCAAGUCGAGCGAGAAAGUCUUCGGACGAGUAAAGCGGCGUAAGGGUGAGUAAUAGGUAGUCAACGUAUCCACGAGACGCGAAUAAUUCCCCGAAAGGGGUUGUAAUGCGCGAUGAGACCACAGUUCCCACGGGGAUCGAGGUCAAAGGUUCGGGAUCCUUCGGGACCGAGCGGCUCAUGGAGCGGACGACCUCCGAUUAGCUAGAUGGCGGGGUAACGGCCCACCAUGGCGAUGAUCGGUAGCCGGCCUGAGAGGGUGUUCGGCCACACUGGGACUGAGACACUGCCCAGAUUCCUACGGGAGGCUGCAGUCGCGAAUCAUUCACAAUGGACGCAAGUCUGAUGAUGCCACGCCGCGUGCGGGAUGAAGGCCCUUUGGGUUGUAAACCGCUGUCAAGGGAGGGGAACCGCGGAACGUAAACAGCGUUCCGUCUGACUGCUUUACUAAAGGAA